GGGGAACGCUGGCGGCGUGUCUUAAGCAUGCAAGUCGAGCGGCAAGGAAGUGCUUGCACUUCCCCAGAGCGGCGGACUGGUGAGUAACGCGUGGGUGAUCUACCUCGGGGUUGGGGAUAGCCAUUAGAAAUAGUGGGUAAUACCGAAUACGCUUCCAGGGCUACGGCCGUGGAAGGAAAGGCGCUACGGCGCCGACCUGAGAUGAGCCCGCGUCCCAUUAGCUAGUUGGUGAGGUAACGGCCCACCAAGGCGAUGAUGGGUAGGCGGCCUGAGAGGGUGUACGCCCACAUUGGGACUGAGAUACGGCCCAAACUCCUACGGGAGGCAGCAGCUAAGAAUAUUCCGCAAUGGACGAAAGUCUGACGGAGCGACGCCGCGUGGAUGAUGAAGGCCGGAAGGUUGUAAAAUCCUUUUGUCGGGGAAGAAUAAGCGUGGGAGGGAAUGCCCGCGUGAUGACAUGAACCGGCGAAUAAGCCCCGGCUAACUACGUGCCAGCAGCCGCGGUAAUCU
rnacentral:rRNA from 1 species